rnacentral:rRNA from 1 species
GUUUCGGACUCUCGGCCCGGUCGAUCUCUCCACGGCGCAGCCCACAAGGCGCGUGGGGGGUCACGACUGCCGACCGAUCCUUUCCGCCUUUCAGCUCGCUACCUAGAUCUCUCUUCCACAGGGGAAGUCGCCGAGGAGGAGGGAGGGCGAGAGUAUGGGGCGGGAGGUGUCGGAGAGCUGCGUUGAUGGGGUGGUGAUGGAGAUGGUGGCUGCCUACUGCGGCCGCUUCUACGCCGCCAAGCCGGAGCUCGCCGCCGGUCGCAUUGAGGCCAUCGGCUUCCAGGUUGGCCAUCAACUCUCCGAGAGAUAUACGAUGGAGCGCCCUCGAUUUACUGAUCAUCUUGAGGCAAUCAAAUUUAUUUGCAAAGAUUUUUGGUCAGAACUGUUCAAGAAGCAGAUUGACAAUCUGAAAACAAAUCAUAGGGGCACCUUCGUUCUUCAAGAUAACCAUUUCCGGUGGCUUACUCGUGUUUCUCUAGAUCCAGCAGUAGAGAGCACUGAUGCAACUGAGAAUGACUCUGGGUCAUUAGGUGAUUCUGCAGCCCAAACAACAAGCAUGCUUUUAUAUUUCCCAUGUGGGUUAAUAAGAGGUGCUCUGACAAACUUGGGGAUUCCGUGUGCUGUCUCUGCAGACAUGUCAAACCUUCCAGCAUGUUCUUUCGUGGUGCGCAUAAAGACAUGAUCUGCGAGAAAUAGAACAAGUCAAAUAUGAAUCCCCUGCCCGUGGUUCAAGUAUUUUGGACGGUAAAGUAAGAGUAAAGUAAGAACGUUCAGAUAUAUUUUACCUGACUGUAUUGUAGUGUUUCCUUCUUUGGUCAAAUUUCAAAUAUUUGUUGUUAUUCUGUGAUGCAAGGUACUUUAAAAUAUUUGGUCCGGAGAAUGCAUGUAGCUAUCCAAUUUUUCAUCUGUCAGUGUUGGGUUUUUAUUGUCACAUGAUAGUGUGGAUGUUACUUGCCCAAGCUCUUAAGCUGCUUACCCUACUACUACAUCCAUCGCACUCUAGAAAAG